rnacentral:rRNA from 1 species
GAUGAACGCUGGCGGCGUGCCUAACACAUGCAAGUCGAACGGAGAUUACGGACGGAAGUUUUCGGAUGGAAGACUGUAAUUCUUAGUGGCGGACGGGUGAGUAACGCGUGGGCAACCUGCCCUAUACAGGGGGAUAGCAGCUGGAAACGGCUGGUAAGACCGCAUAAGUCGGUUAAAUCGCAUGAUUUGAUCGGGAAAUGAGCAAUCAGGUAUAGGAUGGGCCCGCGUCCGAUUAGCCAGUUGGCAGGGUAAAAGCCUACCAAAGCGACGAUCGGUAGCCGGACUGAGAGGUCGGACGGCCACAUUGGGACUGAGACACGGCCCAAACUCCUACGGGAAGCAGCAGUGGGGGAUAUUGCACAAUGGAGGAAACUCUGAUGCAGCGACGCCGCGUGAGUGAAGAAGUAUUUCGGUAUGUAAAGCUCUAUCAGCAGGGAAGAUGAUGACGGUACCUGACUAAGAAGCCCCGGCUAACUACGUG